GCGAAAACCGGCGGUCUGGACUCUUCCGCAAGAUUAUUACAAGGCUGGCUUAGCUUUGUUGGACCUCAUCCAAGGUAUACCUUCCAAGCUUACCUCUGGGGAGUUAUUUAGCGUCCUUGAUGAUGCUAGCGAAAGAACAUUUUUAUGUGCUGGUACAGCUGAGUCACUGCAAAAAUAUGUUUUUGAUGGGGAUGCUUCCAAAAAAG
rnacentral:misc_RNA from 1 species